rnacentral:sRNA from 1 species
AUGGCUCAUAGAACUCGAUGUUACACUGACAAUACCACAUCCCAAGCAGUACCUCCAAACAUAAUAGACAUAACAUGUAAACACACAACUAGAUACGUCAUUGUGGAGACCACGUAUGACGCACCUGAAGAUAACCCAACUACGGGUGCUAUCCUAGAAAUCUGUGAAAUAGAGGUGUAUGUUAAUCUGUCGCAGAAAUCAAACAACACAGAGUCCAUUUUGUAUGUUAUGCUGCCAGUUCUUUGCACAAGUCUCGUCAUCAACAUCUGUACAAUUACCUGGAUUUUAAAAAACAACGCAUGCAAGAGACAGGAUGUAAUACAAGACGGGUUGAAGAGAGACACAAAAUUCAUUCCGACGUCCGGGAUAUACAUGUAUAGUACAGCGGACGACGGCACUGUAUACCAAGAACUGGAUCAACUCAGUGGACCGUCACACUACAGUCAACUUUGAAAGCCAACAAGUUAACUGAAACAUAAUAGAAAUUGAAAUGACAUUGUGUCGUUUUAAAGAGGUUCGAUCCUCU